CGCGCCCGAAAGGGUGAGGAAAGUCCGGACUCCGCAGGACAGGAGACCCGGUCGUCAAGGCCGGGGACGCGGCGGCAAUCGCCGUGUACGGAAAGCGCCACAGAGAAUAGACCGCCGUCCGCAAGGGCGGCAAGGGUGAAAAGGCGGUGUAAGAGACCACCGGGCGCGGGUGAGAGCCCGCCCGCAGGGCAAGCCCUCUCCGGAGCAAGAUCAAAUAGGGAACUAAACGGGCUGUCCGUCCGGUCCGCGCCAUCGGGCGCGGUUAAGUUCCGGGUUGAUCGCGCAAGAUGAAUGAUCGGAGCCCGCCAAUGCGUAACCAAUCGACAAGCGGGUGAACAGAAUCUGGCUUAUUCGCCG
rnacentral:RNase_P_RNA from 1 species